rnacentral:rRNA from 1 species
UACGGGGGGGGCAAGCGUUGUUCGGAAUUACUGGGCGUAAAGGGCUCGUAGGCGGCCAACUAAGUCCGACGUGAAAUCCCAAGGCUUAACCUUGGAACUGCGUCGGAUACUGGAUGGCUUGAAUUCGGGAGAGGGAUGCGAGAAUUCCAGGUGUAGCGGUGAAAUGCGUAGAUAUCUGGAGGAAUACCGGUGGCGAAGGCGGCAUCCUGGACCGACAUUGACGCUGAUGAGCGAAAGCUAGGGGAGCAAACGGG